GACGAACGCUGGCGGUGUGCUUAACACAUGCAAGUCGAACGGUAAGGCCCUUUCGGGGGUACACGAGUGGCGAACGGGUGAGUAACACGUGAGUAACCUGCCCUCAUCUCUGGGAUAACAGUCGGAAACGGUUGCUAAUACUGGAUAUGAGCUUGCAAGGCAUCUUGUGGGUUGGAAAGAUUUUUUUUGGUUGGGGAUGGACUCGCGGCCUAUCAGCUUGUUGGUGAGGUAGUGGCUCACCAAGGCUUCGACGGGUAGCCGGCCUGAGAGGGCGACCGGCCACAUUGGGACUGAGAUACGGCCCAAACUCCUACGGGAGGCAGCAGUGGGGAAUAUUGCACAAUGGACAGAAGUCUGAUGCAGCAACGCCGCGUGCGGGAUGACGGCCUUCGGGUUGUAAACCGCUUUCAAUUGUGACGAAGCUUUUUUGUGACGGUAGCAGUAGAAGAAGCACCGGCUAACUACGUG
rnacentral:rRNA from 1 species